GACGAACGCUGGCGGCGUGCUUAACACAUGCAAGUCGAACGGAAAGGCCCUGCUUUUGUGGGGUGCUCGAGUGGCGAACGGGUGAGUAACACGUGAGUAACCUGCCCUUGACUUUGGGAUAACUUCAGGAAACUGGGGCUAAUACCGGAUAGGAGCUCCUGCUGCAUGGUGGGGGUUGGAAAGUUUCGGCGGUUGGGGAUGGACUCGCGGCUUAUCAGCUUGUUGGUGGGGUAGUGGCUUACCAAGGCUUUGACGGGUAGUCGGCCUGAGAGGGUGACCGGCCACAUUGGGACUGAGAUACGGCCCAGACUCCUACGGGACGCAGCAGUGGGGAAUAUUGCACAAUGGGCGGAAGCCUGAUGCAGCAACGCCGCGUGCGGGAUGACGGCCUUCGGGUUGUAAACCGCUUUCGCCUGUGACGAAGCGUGAGUGACGGUAAUGGGUAAAGAAGCCCCGGCUAACUACGUG
rnacentral:rRNA from 1 species